rnacentral:rRNA from 1 species
UACGAAGGGGGCUAGCGUUGCUCGGAAUCACUGGGCGUAAAGCGCACGUAGGCGGACUCUUAAGUCGGUGGUGAAAUCCUGGAGCUCAACUCCAGAACUGCCUUCGAUACUGGGAGUCCCGAGUCCGGGAGAGGUGAGUGGAACUGCGAGUGUAGAGGUGAAAUUCGUAGAUAUUCGCAAGAACACCAGUGGCGAAGGCGGCUCACUGGCCCGGUACUGACGCUGAGGUGCGAAAGCGUGGGGAGCAAACAGG